rnacentral:lncRNA from 1 species
AUGGAUUACAGCUAUGAUCUGACUUGCAGAGGGAAAUCCAAAGUGAUACUUCUUUUUUUUAUUUUGAGAUGGAGUUUCGCUCUUGUUACUCAGGUUAAAGUGAGAUGGCGUGAUCUCGGCUCACCGCAACCUCCGCCUCCCGGGUUGAAGCGAUUCUCCUGCCUCAGCCUCCCGAGUAGCUGGGACUACAGAUCCGGUUCAGGUCUAAGUCGCCUGCCAGGACCCCAUCUCCAGGAAACGUUGUCUCUCUGCCACCAUCACUCCCCGUCACUCUUCCAACGACCCCGGCACACCUCCCAUAGAUGCGAAAUAUGCCGAUCCCCCGGAGCAAAGAUGACCCGGAGGACAGGGGAACGACCUUCCCACCCGCACGACUGGUCUGCAAGUCCGCAUGGAAACCAACGGAAACGGAAAUUCACCAUCGCGCUGACUCGCCGGAGGGAAACAAGAAGGGAGAAAAAAGAAACCUGCAGGUGGACGACUUUCAGUGGAGAGCCGGAAGAGUCGUGA